ensembl:lncRNA
AGAUCCCAACAGAGAGGGGAGCAUAAAGGAAGAAGUGUGCUGCUUGAGGCGAUGGGGAAGUUUCCUCACCACCAACUGCUCUGCCUCAUUUGGCUUCUUGCACCAUCACACCCACACCCUCAUCAUGUACAAGUUUGGGGCUUUUUUUCGAAUGAUAAAACUAAGGAUCAGAAGGCUGAAUCAACAGCUCACUUGGAAUGUGAUUUAAACAUGUGUGCGGUGUACAGAUAGGACCAUCAGCCAGGAGACUCCAUGCUCUUGAACCAAGGGAUGUUUCUGUUGUCCUGCAGGGGCUAAAACACAAACUACAAGCUUUGCUGAGCCCACCUUUUUCUCUCUCCAUAAGGUGAGUCUCAAGCACAUGGUUCCUUUUCUGCACCAUCUAAAUGUUGUUUUUUUCUCUACAGUAUAAUUUAAAUAGCUUAUAUAGGACCUGACAGAUAUUAAGUUGGUGAUUAUGAUCUAACAUCAGAUUUCACAGAUCUGAAUGCUGCCUCCAUCACUUAACUGUUUAUAUAACCUUAGGGUUCUAAGCCUUCGUUUCUUAACCUGUAACAUGAAAAUAGUCAUGGUUGCUGCUUCAUAAAAUUAUUGUGAGAACUAAUGAGAUACCAAGUGUAGUGCACUUAGCAAGCAAAUACUACCUUUAUUGUCUAUAGGGAUACAGAAGCCAUAGCAGACUAGACAGGUAUGAGAUGAGGUUAGGAAAAAAAAAAAAUCAGUGUUUCUCAAGAAAUAUCUUCUGGUGAAUUAGAAUGAUGUAUUUGUUCUGUGAACUAAACCAAUUACUGUUUUAGAAAGACAACCUCUAAAGUUUGAAAGAAAUAGCUAUCAAUAACUGUUUGUUACAUGCUAGGAGAUGUGCUAAUGGUUUUACAGAUAUUUUCUCAUUUAUAUCUUAAUGUAGUCAGUACACUUAGGAGAAGGUAUGAUCAUUCCCAUUUUUCAGACAAGGAAAUUGACGCAGACGGAGGCCCAUUAACUUGUCCAGGGUCAUAGAACUAGUAAAUGACAGGACAAAAUCCAUUUUGGUUGUGUUCUCAUCCACCGUGUAACAUUACUUCCAAACCAAAACGUUAACUGAUGAGGUCUGUUGAUACAGUAAUGACCAGUGAUGAAAUCAUCAUCAUGUCACCUAGUUCUAGGCCAUGCUACAAUAUGUGCUCUAAAAUUCACAUAUUGCCUUUUAAAGGAAAUCUAUUCAUAUGGGUUAUGAUAGACUGAGACUAGU